rnacentral:rRNA from 1 species
AUUGAACGCUGGCGGCAGGCCUAACACAUGCAAGUCGAACGAGUGGCGGACGGGUGAGUAAUGUCUGGGAAACUGCCUGAUGGAGGGGGAUAACUACUGGAAACGGUAGCUAAUACCGCAUACCAUCAGAUGUGCCCAGAUGGGAUUAGCUUGUGUGUGGGGUAACGGCUCACCAAGGCGACGAUCCCUCGCUGGUCUGAGAGGAUGACCAGCCACACUGGACGUGAGACACGGUCCAGACUCCUCCGGUGGGCAGCAGUGGGGAAUAUUGCACAAGGGGCGAAAGCCUGAUGCGUCCAUGCCGCGUGUAUGAAGAAGGCCUUCGGGUUGUAAAGUACUUUCAGCGGGGAGGCGUUACCCGCAGAAGAAGCACCGGCUAACUCCGUGCCAGCAGCCGCGUAAUAC